CUCUCUCCCUUUCCCUCUCUCUAAAAAUAAAUAAGAUCUUUUAAAAAAAUUAAUUGACAGGAAAAUAGACAGCAAGGUUUGGGCCCUUCCACAGCCUUCUCAGCAUCCAAUGCAGGGCGGAGAAGAGGGCUGACUAUAAAGCGAGAUGGACGAUGUGUGAGGUGCUGCUGAGGUGUGGAAGUACCUUUAAUAAUCAAAUAAGAAUGCUCAUAUGACUUCUAAAUAACAUUAAAUGUCUAAGGUUGCAAUGGUAGGUUGAAAUAUUACUGAUGACCACUGUCUCACUAAGCCAGCAUGAGCACAUGUAACGUCUGAUGGUGUCAAUUCUACUGUCUGCGCUUGGAAGAUAACACACUGGAAGCUUCACACCACUGUAAAACUGAAGUCGCACAUGCGUACAAAUAGCAAGAGAGUAUGUACAUUUAUUUUACAUGACAUUAUGACACAUAAUCACACAAAAAAAUUUCAUAAUGUUUUAAUUUACGACUUUGUGUUGGGCCACAUUCAUAGCCAUUCUGGGCCGCAUGCAGCCCAUGUGCUCCAGGUUGGACACCCCUGCUUAAAUGCUCAAUAAACAAUAGUUAUCACAAUCAUGAUGAUGAAAAGACUCACCACAAAAGACAGAACCUGAAACAAAUACAAAGUACUAUGGAAAGUAAACUAUAAUUGAAAAACAAAGUAGAGAAGUCAGAGUCCGCCGCUUCCCCAAAGCUGGGAAAAUUUGCCUUUGACAAUGGGGGCAGGUGUGUCUUAAGCUCUUGCUGUUUAGGCCUAACACCCAGCAGCCAAGCCAGGAGGAGGAGGACUUGUGUGGACACUGUCACUGGUGAGCAUGCAGGUUCCAGAAUGCCAUUGAUGAUGGCCUGGGUUCUCUUCACUGGUCUGACUCCCACACAGCCCAUCAGAGCAACUGCUAGGAAACUUCUAGUGCCACAGCAGGCCCAGAUCCACUGCCCUGCCCUGCCCUUCCUCUAGGUUACCUGCAAGAUGGGGUCAGGGGAAGCUAGAAACUCUAGGCCCCUGCUGUCAAGCUUUUGUGGGCAAGGGCAGUAAGAUCUUUCCUAAGAAGCCCUGAGGCCACUGGUGAGAGGCCCAGGGUGAGGACCCGGCCUGGGAGGGCUGGCAGUGGGAUUCUUAAUUGCCUAGGGGAGACAUAUGUAGGCAAGUGAUGAGAAACUCCUUAUGGGCAAAAAUGCUUUCAUGGCACAGGAGGUGGGGGGAGCCAGGAGAGAUUUUUAGAAAGGCUGCUCUGUGAAGCAGGAACUUAAACUCCACUGGGCCAAAACCUUACGUCCCAGCCAAGACCCUCACUGAAGUGACAAAUUGUGGCCUCCAGGUGCUCCAGACUAGAGGCCUUUUGAACGCAGAGGCAACACUGAGGACAGGUUCUUCCAAACCUCACCCUGCUCUGCCCGGUGCAGAUGUGCUAUGGCAGAGCUGUUGCUGGACGCCUGGACUUUUGAUGGUGAUGCCUUGUUGUUGUGAUCCACAGUCAUGACUACAUGGACUACUCUCAUAGGCACUGGAUGAAAACUCUGGGGUUGCCCUACAGAUCUAAGGUACAUCACCCCAAAGAUGGGGCCCUCAGAGGUAAGAGAGCACAGUGUGUUUCUGGGGGCUGUGCUAUUUUCUGGUCUAUAGAAACAAAGGGUAUUAGGCCUAAUAGGGAAACUCUCUCUGCUGAAUGAAACUGACACUCCCCAGCUGUGUGGCAGGUGGCACACAGGGGGACAGGCAAGGUAUACCCAAGAAAUCUCAAACACUUGGGAAAGAUUUUUGUUUUGUCGGGGCAUUACUGCUCAGUGUUUCCACUGUCCUCCCUACCUUUUUUCUACUGCUUUUGGAAUUAUAGUUCUUUGGGGUCAUAAUUGAAAUUGUGUAUUUGUUUGUAAAUUUUAUUACCUGACCAUUCUCUAGCCCAUAUGUAAUGAUUGGUUUCUCCAUGUUUCUGGAGCUGAGGAACAUACCUGCCAAGAAACAAAACAACAGAUUUUUUUUAAUGUGUUCAAACUAACAAAGCAGCAGUUACAUGGGUUUACACAAUUAAGACGUACUAGGCCAUUUUCUCAGUGGCAGCUUGAAAGGAACAAUUAGGUCUCUUAAUGCUGAACUAAGUUUUAUGGAAAUCCAAAAGCAGUGAUUUGGCUCUUCAUUGCAAAAGAGCCUUUGGGGAGGGGAAUAAGGAAGUUAUAUUACAGCCAACAGCAUCAAACACAGAGCACACACAGAUAAGCCAAAGAAACCCUUAACAGUUAAAGAUUAUGCAAACAUCACUCUGGAUUUAGUUUUUCACAGACAUUCCCUUCCCUUGCCUUUUUAUCAGCAAUGCACCAAAAUGUGAAGGUUAUAAUAUUCUCAACCCUAGUUAAGUGUGCUGUAGGGUCUGCUCCAGUUUUGUUUGGAGAGCAAAGAAGAGCACAUCCCAAAAUAAUACUGCAGCAUGUCCACACCUCAGAGAUGAAAUAUUUAGUUAGGGGGUGUGGAUGAGGUGGUGGGUGGAGUGGAGCGUUAAUACAAGCAUACACAGGCCCAAACAAAGAUGCCGAGUGCUAGUCUCUUUAGUUAUCUAAAAUCUGUAUUGAUAUGCUUGGGAAAGAAAAAACUCUAAUUUUUCCAUGUAUCUUAGGUCUCACAAGAGUAUAAUAGGAUAAUUUGAGUCCUCAGGUCACAGAAGUAUCAUA